GAUGCAGCACGCCGCGUGCGGGAAGACGGCCCUAGGGUUGUAAACCGCUUUCAGCAGGGAAGAAAAUGACGGUACCUGCAGAAGAAGGUGCGGCCAACUACGUGCCAGCACCCGCGGUGACACGUAGGCACCAAGCGUUAUCCGGAUUUAUUGGGCGUAAAGAGCUCGUAUGCGGUUUAUUAAGUCGGGUGUGAAAACUCUGGGCUCAACCCCGAGAGGCCACCCGAUACUGCUGUGACUUGAGUACGGUAGGGGAGCGGGGAAUUCCUGGUGUAACGGUAAAAUGCGCAAAUAUCCGGAAAAACACCGGUGGCAAAGGCGCCGCUCUGGGCCGUAACUGACGCUAAGGAGCAAAAGCGUGGGUAGCAAACAAGAUUAGAUACCCUGGUACUCCACGCCCCAAACGUUGGGCACUAGGUGUGGGUCUCAUCCAACGAGAUCGGCGCCGUCCCUAACGCAUUAUUUGCCCCGCCUGGGGAGUACGGUCGCAAAACAAAACCUCUGAGGAAUUGGCGGAGG
rnacentral:rRNA from 1 species